rnacentral:rRNA from 1 species
GCUUUGAUUUCUUUAGUUGAAGAGAACUGGAAAGUUCCGUCGUAGAAGGUAAUAACCCUGUAGGCGAAAAGGAAAGAAAAGUAGAUCUACUCCAGAGUACCACGAGACACGUGAAACCUUGUGGGAAGCUGGGAGGACCAUCUCCCAAGGCUAAAUACUACCUAGUGACCGAUAGUGAAGCAGUACCGUGAGGGAAAGGUGAAAAGAACCCCGGAAGGGGAGUGAAAUAGAAUCUGAAACCGUGUGCCUACAAUCGGUCGGAGCACAUUAAAGUGUGACGGCGUACUUUUUGUAGAACGGGCCAGCGAGUUACGAUAUAUAGCGAGGUUAAGCACUUAUGGUGUGGAGCCGAAGGGAAACCGAGUCUGAAUAGGGCAACUAGUUGUAUAUUGUAGACCCGAAACCGGGUGACCUAUCCAUGGCCAGGAUGAAGCGGAAGUAAAAUUCCGUGGAGGUCCGAACCACGUUGGUGUUGAAAAACCAUGGGAUGAGCUGGGGAUAGCGGAGAAAUUCCAAUCGAACUCGGAGAUAGCUGGGUCUCCUCGAAAUAGCUUUAGGGCUAGCGUCGGGUAAUUGAGUAGUGGAGGUAGAGCACUGAAUGGGCUAGGGGCUGACAACAGUUACUGAACCCUAUCAAACUCCGAAUGCCAUAUACUUGUACCCCGGCAGUCAGACUACGAAUGAUAAGAUCCGUGG